AUGUCAUCCCAAGACUCUAAGGGUGAGAGCUAUGUCACUGAUUUCAUCGCAAACCCCAAGUCUUAUGGGGAUGUGGAGCACUAUAGCUGGAAUUUCGAAGAGAAUGAAGAUGAAUCAGUUCCUUCCUGCUUCAAAAAUGAAAGCAUGGAGGCAUUAUGCAAGAGCAUAAUAAAGCUCGAGAUGGAGAAUGAUGAGUUGAGGGUAGACAACUUUAUCCUCCGGAGCAAGUUGGAGGAAAAGAAGGGAAACCCUCUACUUCUUCAUCACCACCACGUUCUUCUUCAUCACCAAAAGAGAAUUGAGUAUCAGGUAAGGGCACUCCCCUUGGCUUCCGCCAAGCUUGGGGGAGGUGCCCCGAUAUCGUAUCAUCCCCACUAUCUUUUGCAUUUACUUAUUUUAGUUCGAUCUUUUGCUUUAGAUGAAUAA
rnacentral:rRNA from 1 species